rnacentral:rRNA from 1 species
CGCGUAGGUGGAUGUGACAGUCAGGCGUGAAAUUCCUGGGCUUAACCUGGGGACUGCGUUUGAGACGUUAUAUCUAGAGUGAGGAAGAGGGUCGUGGAAUUCCCAGUGUAGAGGUGAAAUUCGUAGAUAUUGGGAAGAACACCGGUGGCGAAGGCGGCGACCUGGUCCUUGACUGACGCUGAGGCGCGAAAGCGUGGGGAGCAAACG